GGAUGCGAGGGCGAUCUGGCUAUGACAGGUCACCCACUGAUCACCAGGGUCCAGCUGAUCUGGCUGGGUGUUCCUUCCUCCCUCACUGCUCCAUGUGUGUCUCCCCCAAGCUCUGUGCUUGAUCCAAGGACGUAACACCCACCAAAAGAGAAGGACCCUUUCCUCAGACAAGGGCAAAUAGCUGCACUCCCCCUGCUAGAACCUCCAAACAAGCCCUGAAGAACGGAUUCCAGCACUCAGCAGGCUCAUGUGGGUAGGAGGACUGCUGCAAGCCUGGACUACAUAGCCGGCU
rfam:Fukomys damarensis contig86080, whole genome shotgun sequence.